CGAGUUUAGGACAGAAAUUUGGCCCAUCUAUGUAAAAAAGAUAACAUACAAUUAAUUGGCUAACCUUAUAUAAUCCAAGUUGGAGCAAGAUUAUGUCUCUCAAUUCAAGUGCAUAUGUCUCUAAAUUAGCAAUGUUAUAGAGGCAAAGAUGAUAGAUUGGUUCAUAUGAGGGUUGAAAUCUAUAGUCCAAGAAGAGGUGGAAUUAAAGAAUCUACAAAUAUUUGAAAAGACAAUUAGGAUUGUAGAGAAGAUUGAUACUAUAGAUUUCAAAAAUUAUGGAGUAUAACAUAUCAUGUAAAGUUCUAUCCUACUAUCUAAUAGUAUGGCAUAACAAUCAAUGCUAAUGGACAUUAAUACCUUGCAAAGAUUA
rnacentral:lncRNA from 1 species